rnacentral:rRNA from 1 species
GCUCCGCUGACGAGUGGCGAACGGGUGAGUAAUAUAUCGGAACGUGCCCUAGAGUGGGGGAUAACUAGUCGAAAGAUUAGCUAAUACCGCAUACGAUCUAAGGAUGAAAGUGGGGGAUCGCAAGACCUCAUGCUCGUGGAGCGGGCCGAUAUCUGAUUAGCUAGUUGGUAGGGUAAAAGCCUACCAAGGCAUCGAUCAGUAGCUGGGUCUGAGAGGACGACCAGCCACACUGGGACUGAGACACGGCCCAGACUCCUACGGGAGGCAGCAGUGGGGAAUUUUGGACAAUGGGCGCAAGCCUGAUCCAGCAAUGCCGCGUGAGUGAAGAAGGCCUUCGGGUUUGUAAAGCUCUUUUGUCAGGGAAGAAACGGGUUGAGCUAAUAUCUUGGCCUAAUGACGGUACCUGAAGAAUAAGCACCGGCUAACUACGUG